rnacentral:rRNA from 1 species
ACGGGUGAGUAAUGCUUAUCUUACCUGCCAUUUAGUGGGGGAUAAAAUUCCGCAUAUUAUGAGUAAUCAUGAAAGGGCUUUCGGGCUCGCUAAUUGAUGGGGAUAAGUCGCAUCAGCCGAUGAACAGUGGGGUAAUGGCCUACUGAGGCAAUGACGCGUAGCCAGUCUGAGAGGAUGAAUGGCCACAAAGGAACUGAGACACGGUCCUUACUCCUAUUGAGGAGGCAGCAGUGGGGAAUAUUUUGCAAUGGGGGAAACCCUGACAGAGCAAUACUACGUGAAGGAGGAAGGUCUACGGAUUGUAAACUUCUUUACUUAAAUGUACUAGCCGCAAGGUUUUGCAUUUGAGCAAAAAGCGACGACUAACUAUGUGCCAGCAGUCGCGGUAAGACAUAGGUCGCGAACGUUAUCCGGAAUUAUUGGGCGUAAAGGAUGCGUAGAUGGUUCAGUAAGUUACUGGUGGGAAAUCGAGGCCCAACCUCGUGGAAGUCAGUAAUACUGUUUUGCUUGAGUGCAGAAGAGGUUAACGGAACUCCAUGUGGAGCGGUAAAAUGCGUAGAUAUAUGGAAGAACAUCAAUAACGGCGAAGGCAGUUAACUAUUCUGUUACUGACAUUGAGGCACGAAAGCGUGGGGAGCAAAACGGAUUAGAUACCCGUGUAGUCCACGCCCUAAACGAUGAGUACUAGAUAUUGGGAACUUGAUUCUCAGUGUCGCUAGGUAACCCGGUAAGUACUCCGCCUGGGUAGUACGCUCGCAAGAGUGAAACUCAAAGGAAUUGACGGGGACUCGCACAAGCAGUGGAGCAUGUGGUUUAAUCCGAUACAACGCGUAGAACCUUACCAAGGCUUGACAUGUUGGGCAAAGCUGGGGAAACCUAGUGGAGGUUAUCCUAACACAGGUGCUGCAUGGCCGUCGUCAGUUCGUGCCGUGAGGUGUAUGGUUAAGUCCUAUAACGAACGCAACCCUUGGGCUUAGUUACCAGCAUUCAGUUGGGGACUCUAAGCCGACUGCCUGAGCAAUCAGGAGGAAGGAAAGGAUGACGUCUGGUCGUC